rnacentral:tRNA from 1 species
GGUCGCUUAACUCAGUUGGUAGAGUGUCACCCUUACAAGGUGAAUGUCACAAGUUCGAGUCUUGUAGCGACCACCA